GAUGAACGCUGGCGGCGUGCCUAAUACAUGCAAGUCGAGCGAACAGACGAGGAGCUUGCUCCUCUGACGUUAGCGGCGGACGGGUGAGUAACACGUGGAUAACCUACCUAUAAGACUGGGAUAACUUCGGGAAACCGGAGCUAAUACCGGAUAAUAUAUUGAACCGCAUGGUUCAAUAGUGAAAGACGGUUUUGCUGUCACUUAUAGAUGGAUCCGCGCCGCAUUAGCUAGUUGGUAAGGUAACGGCUUACCAAGGCAACGAUGCGUAGCCGACCUGAGAGGGGGAUCGGCCACACUGGAACUGAGACACGGUCCAGACUCCUACGGGAGGCAGCAGUAGGGAAUCUUCCGCAAUGGGCGAAAGCCUGACGGAGCAACGCCGCGUGAGUGAUGAAGGUCUUCGGAUCGUAAAACUCUGUUAUUAGGGAAGAACAAAUGUGUAAGUAACUAUGCACGUCUUGACGGUACCUAAUCAGAAAGCCACGGCUAACUACAU
rnacentral:rRNA from 1 species